rnacentral:rRNA from 1 species
GGAGCCGUAGCGAAAGCGAGUUUUAACUGAGCGUUCAGUUACUUGACGUAGACCCGAAACCGGGCGACCUACCCAUGAGCAGGAUGAAGCGAAAGUAAAAUUUCGUGGAGGUCCGAACCCACGAGCGUUGAAAAGCUCGGGGAUGACUUGUGGGUAGCGGUGAAAUUCCAAUCGAGCCCGGAGAUAGCUGGUUCUCCCCGAAAUAGCUUUAGGGCUAGCCUCAAGGUGAGAGAUACGGAGGUAGAGCACUGAAUGUCCUAGGGGGUAUUGCACCUACCGAAGACUAUCAAACUCCGAAUGCCGUCAUCUUAUACUUGGGAGUCAGACUGUGGGUGAUAAGAUUCAUAGUCGAAAGGGCAACAGCCCAGAUCGUCAGCUAAGGUCCCUAAAUGUAAGUUAAGUGGUAAAGGAUGUGGGAUUGCACAGACAACCAGGAUGUUGGCUUAGAAGCAGCCACUCAUUCAAAGAGUGCGUAAUAGCUCACUGGUCGAGUGAUCCUGCGCCGAAGAUUUCCGGGGCUAAAACUUACUACCGAAGCUACGGCAUCAGUAAUGAUGGGUAGGGGAGCUUCCCAUACGGGUUGAAGCAUGACCGUAAGGACAUGUGGACAGUAUGGGAGUGAGAAUGUUGGCAUGAGUAGCGAGAUGUGGGUGAGAAUCCCACAGGCCGUAAACCCAAGGUUUCCAGGGGAAGGUUCGUCCGCCCUGGGUUAGUCGGGACCUAAGCUGAGGCCGAAAGGCGUAGGUGAUGGACAACAGGUUGAUAUUCCUGUACUACCGAUAACCGUUUGAGAGAAGGGAUGACACAGUAGGAUAAGCUAAGCACACUGUUGGUUAUGUGUGCCCAAGCAUUGAGGCAGUCAAAGUAGGCAAAUCCGCUUUGAUAAUGCUGGGAUGUGAUGGGGAGCGAAAUUUAGUAGCGAAGUAGCUGAUUUCACACUGUCAAGAAAAGUCUCUAUCGAGGUUAAAGGUACCCGUACCGCAAACCGACACAGGUGGGUGAGGAGAGUAUCCUAAGGCCAGCGAGAGAACUGUUGUUAAGGAACUCGGCAAAAUGACCCCGUAACUUAGGGAUAAGGGGUGCCACCAUCAGGUGGCCGCAGAGAAUAGGCCCAAGCGACUGUUUACCAAAAACAUAGGUUUCUGCUAAGUCGCAAGACGAUGUAUAGGAGCUGACGCCUGCCCGGUGCUGGAAGGUUAAGGGGAUCUGUUAGAGCAAUCGAAGCAGUGAACUUAAGCCCCAGUAAACGGCGGCCGUAACUAUAACGGUCCUAAGGUAGCGAAAUUCCUUGUCGGGUAAGUUCCGACCCGCACGAAAGGCGUAACGAUUUGGGCACUGUCUCAACAACAGACUCGGUGAAAUUGUAAUUCCGGUGAAGAUGCCGGAUACCUGCGACAGGACGGAAAGACCCCAUGGAGCUUUACUGUAGCUUGACAUUGGGUCUUGGUACUACAUGUACAGGAUAGGUGGGAGGCUUUGAAACCAGGACGCCAGUUUUGGCGGAGCCAUCCUUGGGAUACCACCCUUGUAGUACUGGGACUCUAACCAUAGGCCAUGAAUCUGGUCUUGGGACACUGUCAGGUGGGCAGUUUGACUGGGGCGGUCGCCUCCCAAAAGGUAACGGAGGCGCUCAAAGGUUCUCUCAGUACGGUCGGAAAUCGUACGUAGAGUGUAAAGGCAAAAGAGAGCUUGAUUGCAAGACAUACAGGUCGAGCAAGGAUGAAAAUCGGACUUAGUGAUCCGGUGGUUCUGCGUGGAAGGGCCAUCGCUCAACGGAUAAAAGCUACCCUGGGGAUAACAGGCUUAUCUCCCCCAAGAGUCCACAUCGACGGGGAGGUUUGGCACCUCGAUGUCGGCUCAUCACAUCCUGGGGCUGUAGUAGGUCCCAAGGGUUGGGCUGUUCGCCCAUUAAAGUGGUACGCGAGCUGGGUUCAGAACCUGUCUCUUAUACACAUCUCCGAGCCCACGAGACAGGCAGAAAUCUCGUA